rnacentral:rRNA from 1 species
CGCGGUAUAUUGACCGUGCAAAGGUAGCAUAAUCAUUAGUCUUUUAAUAGGAGGCUGGUAUGAAAGGUUUAACGAAACAUUAACUGUCUCAUUUAUAUAUUUGGAACUUAACUUUUAAGUUAAAAGGCUUAAAUUUAAUUGAUGGACGAGAAGACCCUAUAGAGCUUUACAAUAUUUAUUUUAAUAUUAUUUUGUUUUAUAAUUUAUUAUUAAUAUAAAUAUUGUUUUGUUGGGGUGACAAGAAAUAUAUAAUUAACUUUUUUAUUUUAUAAUCAUUGAUUUAUGUUUAUUAGAUCCAGUAAUUAUUGAUCAUUAGAUUAAGUUACCUUAGGGAUAACAGCGUAAUCUUCUUUUGGAGUUCAAAUUUACAGGAAGGCUUGCGACCUCGAUGUUGGAUUAAGAUAAUAAUUAGGUGCAGUAGCUUAAUUAAUAGGUCUGUUCGAC